rnacentral:rRNA from 1 species
AGUAACGGCGAGUGAACGGAGAUUAGCCCAGCACCGAAGCCAAUUCGCGUUUGUGAAUAGGGCAAUGUGGUGUUAAGGCAUGCAUAUUUAAUUGAUUGUCUGCUCGAAGUCCAGCUCCGAUUAUGGCUAGACAUCUGUUCCAAAGAGGGUGAAAGGCCCGUUCGAGUAGAUUAUUGGUUAUCUCUGUGUAUGUCCUUGAGUCGGUUUGCUUGAGAAUGCAAACCAAAUUGGGUGGUAAACUCCAUCUAAGGCUAAAUACUGGCACGAGUCCGAUAGUAAACAAGUACCGUGAGGGAAAGUUGAAAAGUACUCUGAAGAGAGAGUAAAUAGUACGUGAAACCGACUGAAUGGAAGCUGGUGGAGUCAAACUCUUGCAAUGUGAAUUGGUGCGGAGUAUUUGCAAGGAUAUUCAACUUUGUUGUAUUUAAAUUGCUUGAUGGUUUGCCAUCAUGAGUAUCCCGGUGCGGGUGCUCAUCUAUGUUGUUAUAUCCUUACUCUUGUGCUAUUUCAUUAAGCAUAUGCCAAGGUCAGUAUACUCAUGAUCAAUGAUAGUCUAAUCGUGAAUUGGGAUGCAUUGUGCAUUCUGUUUACGUGACGGCAGGUAGCAGUUUUGGUAGCUUGCUAUUAAAACUUUGUAUAGUGGUUAAGACUUGCUGACUAUCCUUUUGUUAAUUUAUUGAGUAUAUUGUUUAUAUUAAAUUUUGAAUCAGCAUGGUUCUCUUUUAUAUAACUUUGGCUAGUAGCAGAUUUCCACCCGACCCGUCUUGAAACACGGACCAAGGAGUUUAACAUGUACACGAGUCGUCUGGUUAUUAAACCAAGUGGCGUAAUGAAAGUGAACGAUUGCUUUUCGUGACCUGUGUGUUAUCCCUGUGUGUCUUGAACUAGGCCAUAGG